UCUGUGUUUUUUUUCUUCAAUUGUGUGUGUGACCGCGUCAUUUACGCAACCUGUGGAAGAAGAAAAAGGAAUCCACUCGUUGACUUGGCUAUAAAAAAGGCGGCCGUAAAAAACGAAGGGGGGAUAGUAUGGGUAGGUAUAAACCCACUGUUAAUUGAGGUGGAGUUGAAUUACGUGAAAGAUGAACAACAAAGAGACAAGUGAAGUGGAGGAGCUCCUGCGAAAAGAAAACGAUUUUGAGGUACGUUGUGUUAUUUAAAAAAAGUCUGACGAGUAAUGCAAUGCUACAUUUGCAUACGGGAUCCUCGGAAGACAAGAAAUGGAGGAUCACCGAGUUUCCGAACAUACUCUAUCAGUGCACCUAUCCAGCUGAGUGGUGCUACUUUUCCUCAGAUAGGAAGUCCAAUAUGGGUCGCCAUUACACGAUCGGCUCCUCUUGCUCCU